rnacentral:rRNA from 1 species
GACGAACGCUGGCGGCGUGCCUAAUACAUGCAAGUCGAGCGAAGUUUUUCUGGUGCUUGCACCGGAAAAACUUAGCGGCGAACGGGUGAGUAACACGUAAAGAACCUGCCUCAUAGACUGGGACAACUAUUGGAAACGAUAGCUAAUACCGGAUAACAGCAUUAACUGCAUGGUUGAUGUUUAAAAGUUGGUUUUGCUAACACUAUGAGAUGGCUUUGCGGUGCAUUAGCUAGUUGGUGGGGUAAAGGCCUACCAAGGCGACAAUGCAUAGCCGACCUGAGAGGGUGAUCGGCCACACUGGGACUGAGACACGGCCCAGACUCCUACGGGAGGCAGCAGUAGGGAAUCUUCCGCAAUGGGCGAAAGCCUGACGGAGCAACGCCGCGUGAGUGAAGAAGGAUUUCGGUUCGUAAAGCUCUGUUGUUAGGGAAGAAUGGUUGUGUAGUAACGAUACACAGUAGAGACGGUACCUAACCAGAAAGCCACGGCUAACUACGUG